rnacentral:rRNA from 1 species
CCUACGGGUGGCAGCAGUGGGGAAUAUUGCGCAAUGGGCGAAAGCCUGACGCAGCGACGCCGCGUGAGGGAUGAAGGUCUUCGGAUCGUAAACCUCUGUCAGCAGGGAAGAACGGUCACUGUGCUAAUCAGCAGUGAAUUGACGGUACCUGCAAAGGAAGUACCGGCUAACUCCGUGCCAGCAGCCGCGGUAAUACGGAGGGUGCGAGCGUUAAUCGGAAUUACUGGGCGUAAAGCGCUCGUAGGCGGUAUGUCAAGUCAAGGGUGAAAUCCCCGCGCUCAACGUGUGAACUGCAUUUGAUACUGGCAAACUGGAGUGUGUGUGAGGAUAGUGGAAUUCGAGGUGUAGGAGUGAAAUGCGUAGAUAUCUGGAGGAACAUCAGUGGCGAAGGCGACUAUCUGGCACAUAACUGACGCUGAGGAGCGAAAGCGUGGGUAGCAAACAGGAUUAGAUACCCGGGUAGUC